rnacentral:rRNA from 1 species
UUCCAGACUCCUACGGGAGGCAGCAGUGGGGAAUAUUGGGCAAUGGGCGCAAGCCUGACCCAGCAACGCCGCGUGAAGGAAGAAGGCUUUCGGGUUGUAAACUUCUUUUCUCAGGGACGAAGCAAGUGACGGUACCUGAGGAAUAAGCCACGGCUAACUACGUGCCAGCAGCCGCGGUAAUACGUAGGUGGCAAGCGUUAUCCGGAUUUACUGGGUGUAAAGGGCGUGUAGGCGGGAAAGCAAGUCAGAUGUGAAAUUCCGGGGCUCAACCCCGGACCUGCAUUUGAAACUGUUGGUCUUGAGUAUCGGAGAGGCAGGCGGAAUUCCUAGUGUAGCGGUGAAAUGCGUAGAUAUUAGGAGGAACACCAGUGGCGAAGGCGGCCUGCUGGACGACAACUGACGGUGAGGCGCGAAAGCGUGGGGAGCAAACAGGAUUAGAUACCCCGGUAU